rnacentral:rRNA from 1 species
UACGUAGGGUGCAAGCGUUGUCCGGAAUUACUGGGCGUAAAGAGUUCGUAGGCGGUUUGUCGCGUCGUUUGUGAAAACCAGCAGCUCAACUGCUGGCUUGCAGGCGAUACGGGCAGACUUGAGUACUGCAGGGGAGACUGGAAUUCCUGGUGUAGCGGUGAAAUGCGCAGAUAUCAGGAGGAACACCGGCGGCGAAGGCGGGUCUCUGGGCAACAACUGACGCUGAGGAGCGAAAGCGUGGGGAGCGAACAGG